rnacentral:hammerhead_ribozyme from 2 species
AUGCGAAACAUCUCGCCGGCUGGACCGGUGAGGUGUCGGCCCAGGGCGGUUCCUGGGUCCUGACGAUGCAACCGGGA